rnacentral:rRNA from 1 species
UGGGGAAUAUUGCGCAAUGGGCGAAAGCCUGACGCAGCGACGCCGCGUGAGGGAUGAAGGCCUUCGGGUUGUAAACCUCUUUCAGCAGGGACGAAGCGAAAGUGACGGUACCUGCAGAAGAAGCACCGGCCAACUACGUGCCAGCAGCCGCGGUAAUACGUAGGGUGCAAGCGUUGUCCGGAAUUAUUGGGCGUAAAGAGCUCGUAGGCGGCCUGUCGCGUCGGCUGUGAAAACCCAGGGCUCAACCCUGGGCCUGCAGUCGAUACGGGCAGGCUAGAGUCCGGCAGGGGAGACUGGAAUUCCUGGUGUAGCGGUGAAAUGCGCAGAUAUCAGGAGGAACACCGGUGGCGAAGGCGGGUCUCUGGGCCGGAACUGACGCUGAGGAGCGAAAGCGUGGGGAGCGAACAGGAUUAGAUACCCCGGUAGUCC